CAAGAAUAUAUGGAAUGUGAAUGGAGUUUCAGCAUGGCUCUGUGAGUGUUUUUGGCCAAAUGAGUAAUUGGACAGAAUCUUUUUUAUUAUUUAAUGAAGGAAUUACAACAGAGAAGAAUGACUGAAUUGCAAGCACCUACUACCUCUGUCUACUAAGCCAAAGAAGAAAGCUGGUGACAAAGUUAAGCUUUAAUUUUCCAGAUGCAUUUAUUUCUGAAAAUCCAAUAUUUUUCUUCUUACCCAGUUUCUUUUUCUAACACGGAUUGGACUGUUAUAUCUGAUCUUCACUAAAUAUUGGAGAAAAUCCAAAGCCACCCACUGGACGCCAAAAGAAAUCCAAAUGGGAAGUUACUGAUAUGAUAAAACAAAGACAAGAAGAAUGAAUACGCAGGAAGUAAUUAAUUUUAUUUCUAAAAGGGAAAAUAGACAAUAUUCAGGAGAGAGUUGUCGAGAUCUCCCAGCUACAGAGGAAAUGCUCUUCCCAGGCUUAUAGUAGAAACAAGUAUAAACAAUUCUACACAAAGUUGAAAGUGGUGGAGGAGUAAGCUUGUCUUUUAACCCCUUCAGGCAAGCUAACAUCAAGAAUAAGAACUCUUCAAACUUGUGAAUGAAAAAAGAAGCAUUAUAAACAAAAUUAAAAUGGCUUGGAGAAUAUCCUUCAUGAAUUAUCAUCUGGCAGCUUUUGUCCUCUCCCAUUAAAAAAAAUAAAGGAAAUGAAGGAAUGAUUCCAAAUAGAAUAUUGACAAGUGAGAGGGGAGGGUAGUUCUGAAGAGAAAAUAAGUAGAAUUAAAAGUAAGAAACAAACAAUAAAACCUCUUUGUUUUCUGACAUAUUGAGCAACAAUAGCUCAUUGUAAAAUAUCUUAGAAUCAUAGAAGCAUAAAGAUUGGGAAAGACCUAUAAGAAUAUCAAGUCCAGCUGUCAACCCAUCACCACCACAUCCACUAAACCAUGCCUGAAUAGUCUUGUUUCCUGACUGGAAAGAAAUAAUUGUUAACUGCACAGAACAAAACAACUCUUCCAUUGCAGCAGUUCUAAUUAGAAGUGAUCAGGUAAUGAAUUAGAUGCAGAAGCAAACAAGCUGUGGAGAAUUCAAAUGAGUUGUUUUCUCAUCUGGAUUCAAACUGAUCAACAGCUGAAUGAAAAUGUGGUAGCCGAAGCCAAUUGCAUAAGCAUGGAGCCCUCAGUAUAUAAAAAUAACAUAUAUGAGGGGUAUUUGCAUAGUGUUUCAAGGCAUCUGUGUCCCCUCCUGAGCUAGAGGGCCUGAAGGUGGGCAGUGCCAGAUCAGUAGCUAAGGAUCUCUGGACUGACAGAGAGAAUUAAAGGACGUACUUUUAAAGAAUACAUUCUCUUUAUCUGUUUGCUGCUGCUAAAGCUCCUGUAAGCCUCUGACAGAUGGUGAAGUUUUCCUUGCCAGUGUAAAGCUUAGGACAGUCACAGCCAGUCUGCAGGCAGCAUGUGGCCUGUCCAUGGGCCACCCCCUGCCCUGUGCCAUCAUGACAGUGGCUCUUCCCACUGAAUGACCUGGCCUGUCCCUGGGUGCGCACCCAUUGCUCAGCAACAAUCAAAUAUCUGUGCGCUAUUAAUGCUGACUGGACUGAAACCAGGGUGUGGGGUGGGUGUGUUGCGGUGCUAACUCAAGUUAUGGCAAAUAAUUAUAUGUAUUUUUAUACACUGGCUAAAGACAGUCCUGUGAACACUGAAAAAUAUGCGGCUGUGCUUUCUGUUUUGAUAAAGGAAUUUGAUAAUAGGUUUCAAAAAUCAUUCAUUUUUUUUGGUAUAUCUGUGAGUCUAUUUUCUGUUGACAUAAACAGAUAACCUGCAAAUUUUCAAAGAGAAUGUAUGGAGUUGCAAUCAGACACGCACCUCAAAGAAAAAAUCUUAUGUCUCUCUACUACUAUUCUAUAAGCUCUCUCUUACCAGACAAAGAUAUCCCUCAUCUCACAGUCAUGUCAUUGCUUUUGGGCAGCAUGUAAAUUUGUGAACAACUGUUUUCAAGGAUAAAGCACAGGAAGAGUAGAAUUUCACCAAAAAUAUCUGACAAACACCUUGAGAACUCACUAGGAAUUACAAUCACUUCAAACAAACCAGAUAUUGAUACAUUGGUUUCAUGAAAAAAAUGUCAAACAUUCCACUGGUUUUAUGGUUUUGUUGCUCUCUUUAUGCUUUAAUAAAAGUUAUAAAAGAAGAAGCUUUGUUGCAUACAUACUCUAACUAUAUUAUAUAUUUUAUAUGUGGCCCAAGACAAUUCCUCUUCACUCAGUGUGGCGCAGGCGAGCCAAGAGCAUCAAGUAACAUAUACGGUAUUUGUUCUACCACAGAAAUAAACUGCUUUAUAUUCCCUCAGGAUUAAGUAGCAUUUGGAUGAUGCCAAUGGGCACUGUUUAUAUCUAACAAGGUGUUUGAUUCCUGAGGGGAAAUAAUAGAUUAAGACAAUGUAAUAGAUCUUAUUCCUAUCACUCUUGUGGGUAGGCUGGUGGUUGUUCGGUGAAAACAAGGUGCUUUUGUCAGUGGGAUCACUCAAAGAUUAUGUUCCUUAGAGCAAGUCAUCAGCAUCUGACUCCAUUUAACUAACAUAAUCCCCGAAGGAAUGACAGUCAUGAAGUGAAUAGAGAACAGAAGCUAGAUACUGGUCAGACCUAUGCAACAAUAUUAACUUCAGCAGAGUUACUUGGGAAUAAGUCAGUGAAAAUUAUCUUCGUGUCUCUUUGGUGCAAACAAUUCAGACACUUGAGGAGAAUUUCAGUUAAGUUUAGCUCUCACUUAAAUUGUAUACCAUUCCUCUGUGCAAGGUGGAAAAGAAUUUAGCCAUUUAUAGGAAAAAUGCUGUGCAUGAACACCAGCCUUACUACUGAAUCACUGAACAUCAGUCUUUAUGACUGAGCUUUAAACACAACUGUGUUCUACUGGUGUUGGAUGAGCAAGGAGCUUGUGCGCAAACUCAAAGGAAAGAAGA